rnacentral:rRNA from 1 species
UUUCUUGUGGAGCCUGUUGGUGAGGAGUCGCUUGGUUUAGUGUUGGGUUUUCUCGGCAUUGCUUUGUUUUCUUCCUCACCUCUCCACAAUGCCUUGUGGGGGCGGUCAAGUGCGUCCGUGUGUGUCCUUCAUUGGGCAUGCGUGGUGCGUAACGGGUCCGGUAACACCCCCCACAUCGUUUACUUUGAACAAAUUAGAGUGUUUCAAGCAGGCAGCAUGUUUGCUCUGAAUACAUUAGCAUGGAAUAAUGAGGUAGGACUUGCGGUUUCGUCCCACUUGGGCUCGCGCUCGUUGGUGAAAUAAACAGACGUGCAAGGUUCCACGGAACCGAAGUAAUGAUUGAUAGGGUCAGUUGGGGGUGCUGGUAUUCCGCGGCCAGAGGUGAAAUACUUGGAUUCGCGGAGGACCAACUUAUGCGAAAGCAUUCACCAAGGAUGUCCUCUUUAAUCAAGAACGAAAGUAGGAGGAGUGAAAGCGAUCAGAUACCGCUAUAAUUCUUACAAUCAAAACGCCGACUGGGGAUGGGGGAUUGUGUCGAUUGGAGUUGAUUCAGGCGUGGCAACACGUUUGGAUGAGCUCCUCCCUGACCUCCUCCGCACCCUGUGAGAAAUCAAAGUCUUUGGGUUCCGGGGGGAGUAUGGUCGCAAGGCUGAAACUUAAAGGAAUUGACGGAAGGGCACCACCAGGAGUGGAGCAUGCGGCUUAAUUUGACCCAACACGGGAAAACUUACCAGGUCCAGACAUAGCGAGGAUUGACAGAUGGAAGAUCUUUCUUGAUUUUAUGGGUGGUGGUGCAUGGCCGUUCUUAGUUGGUGGAGUGAUUUGUCUGGUUGAUUCCGUUAACGAACGAGACCCCGACCUGUUCAUUAGUGCGUCUGUGCUUGUUAUCGCAAUCACAAACAGCCAUUCGUUUGGGAGCACUGCUGAAAGGGACUUUUGGUGCGUAGCCAAAGGAAGUUCGGGGCGAUAACAGGUCUGUGAUGCCCUUAGAUGUUCUGGGCCGCACGCGCGCUACACUGAUGGACGCAGAGAGUGAACAAACGGUGAGCUCGUAAGAGUGAGCUGGAACCUUGAUCGGCAGGUCUGGGUAAUCUUUUCAACGUCCAUCGUGCUGGGGAUAGAUGAUUGUAAUUGUUCAUCUUGAACGAGGAAUUCCUAGUACACGCAAGUCAUCAACUUGCAUUGAUUACGUCCCUGCCCUUUGUACACACCGCCCGUCGCUACUACCGAUUGAAUGGAUUAGUGAGCUUCAGGGAUUCUGCUGCGUGCGGUUCUCCGUGGACGCUGGUGGAAGAGCUGAAUCAAACUUGCUCAUCUAGA